GGGGGGGACAGGGACCGCGGGGGGGACAGGGACCGCGGGGGGGACAGGGACCGCGGAGGGGACAGGGACCGCGGAGGGGACAGGGACCGCGGGGGGGACAGGGACAGGCGUUACGGCCAGGGCGGUGGGCAUCAGUCUGGAAGAUACAACUCCUACAACCAGAGACCAUCACAUUACGACCGCUACUGAACUCCUCUUACUGUGGAGUGACCCCGUUCACACCACCCCAGGGCUCUCCAACACUGUUCCUGUAGAGCUACCCUCCUGUAGGUUUUAACUCCAACCCUGUUCCUGGAGAGCUACCCUCCUGUAGGUUUUAACUCCAACACUGUUCCUGUAGAGCUACCCUUCUGUAGGUUUUAACCCCAACACUGUUCCUGGAGAGCUACCCUCCUGUAGGUUUUAACUCCAACACUGUUCCUGGAGAGCUACCCUCCUGUAGGUUUUAACUCCAACCCUGUUCCUGGAGUUUAAACCUACAGGAGUUUAAACCUACAGGACGGUCUCUCUCCAGGAACAGGGUUGGGGUUAAAACCUACAGGAGGGUCUCUCUCCAGGAACAGGGUUGGAGAACCCUGCAUUACACACAUAGACCUGACUGACACACACUGUGGCCGUAGCAGGUCAAUCUGAUCUCUCACCUCUCCCAGAUUGAAUAUUGUAUUGAUCAGUGAUGUCAUGCUCUAAUCCACACGGAACAGGAUUACAAAAGUGGUAUUGGUUAUUCCAGCCAGUAGUCUGGGCAUAGAGACAAACUAUUUUCUCUAUAGGCCCUUUUCUAAAGUAGUGCACUAUAUGGGGAAUAUGGCCCUGUUCAAAAGUAGUGCACUAUAUAGGGAAUAGGUUUCCAUCAGUGCAGCAGAGUCAAUAGAGAUGGUUACAACGUGAACUGCAGGACAGGAAAAAUGAGUUGGACUGUUCUUCAACUACCUACCGUCAAAUGUAACAUUUAAGAUGCUCAUCUUUGCUACUAGUGUGAUGAACUGCAUUGAUAGGCAUGUGGUGUAUUGUGGGGUGGCGUGGUUCUCUUGUUUUCAUUUAGUUUGUUUCUCUUGACUCCUAAGACAACAUUCAGCUGGUCUGGAUGUUGAUACAAUGUUAUUGAUUCAAUCUAAAAAUUUGUAAUUAAUGAAACCACAUUUGAACCGUCAAUGUCAUCUAUUUUCUUAUGUCACAAAUAUGCUUAUUCUUUCCAGUUUAAUAUGUGACUUGAAAUUGUAACCAGUAACACAAUUUUUUUUUUCUUGUCUGAAAAAUACAAAUAUAAAAUUGUUCUUUGUCUCUCUCUCUCUCCCUCUUCCAUUUUCUUGAGCCUUUUGAAAUAUGGGAUUUGGAAGCCUUUUAAACAUGCUUUAUGUCCAGGGGCUGUAUUCAUUUGUUUUCCACUGUAGCAAAGUAUUUUGCAACUGGAAUCGUUUUAACUCCGAACAUAAAAACCUUUUAUGCAAUGAAAAUGAGAGUUUCUAUUGGACGAAUUCAGCUAGGUCCCUCCCUGUUUUAUUUCUGUUAUGGGAUGUUGAACCCCUUUGAACAUGCUGUCUAGUCCAAUAGUAGCAUUGACUUAAUCUGGGUCCUCACAACCACCACUCAGUGUUGGGAUGUUAGUAUGCUGCUGCUAUUCUUAAGGUUAGGGUCAGAGCCCUGGUCAGAAGUAGUGCUCUAUAUACGGAAUGAGGGGGUGUCAUUUGGGACACAUCAUCCGUCUGUUGCAUUAUAUAAUGAAUGACGACCUGCAGUAGGGAGGGUGUAGAGCACUACAUAGUGGGUGGCACGUCUCUUUAAACCCUACUUAACACCGGUGACUAAUGGCUAAUACUGCACCAGGCACAGAUCUAGGAUCAGCUUUCCGUUCCCAAAUCAGAACCAUUAGCUGGAGAGUAACAUAAAACUGACCUUAGAUCAGUCUAGCCUGUUAGGGCCAACGUCACCCUGAUAUGAGUGGAGAGUUAGUCUCCUUCGUCCUAAUUAUGAAUGACUCAUCAUGGCUGCUACUGUAUCACUAUGAGCCAAGAUGGCUGUCUGUGGUUGUCCACUCCAAUUAAAGUGGUAUUUAGAGCAGAGAGCUGAGAUUCUCAGGCCUCCUCGACUGCUGCUGCUGCUGUAUGAGGUCACCCACUGCCCUGCAGCAGCCCACUCACGUCCUGUCAUGUAACCACAGAGCUCCAGUUCUUUUCUGUUUAUUGUAGUGUGAAUAUACGGUGGAGG
rnacentral:lncRNA from 1 species